GAUGAACGCUGGCGGCGUGCCUAACACAUGCAAGUCGAACGAGCAUGUGCAUGAAACCUAGUGAUUGCGCAUGCGAGUGGCGGACGGGUGAGUAACGCGUGGACAACCUGCCGCAUGCAGGGGGAUACCGGCUGGAAACAGCCGCUAAUACCGCAUAUGCGCACAGCGCCGCAUGGCGCAGUGCGGAAAGGGAGCAAUCCCGGCAUGCGAUGGGUCCGCGUCCGAUUAGCUUGUUGGCGGGGCAGCGGCCCACCAAGGCAACGAUCGGUAGCCGGCCUGAGAGGGCGGACGGCCACAUUGGGACUGAGACACGGCCCAGACUCCUACGGGAGGCAGCAGUGGGGGAUAUUGCACAAUGGGGGGAACCCUGAUGCAGCGACGCCGCGUGGGUGAAGGAGUGCUUCGGCAUGUAAAGCCCUAUCGGCAGGGAAGAAGCAAGACGGUACCUGACUAAGAAGCCCCGGCUAACUACGUGCCAGCAGCCGCGGUAAUACGUANGGGGCGAGCGUUAUCCGGAUUCACUGGGUGUAAAGGGAG
rnacentral:rRNA from 1 species